rnacentral:rRNA from 1 species
UGGGGAAUAUUGGACAAUGGGCGCAAGCCUGAUCCAGCCAUGCCGCGUGGAUGAUGAAGGCCCUAGGGUUGUAAAGUCCUUUUAACGGGGAAGAUAAUGACGGUACCCGUAGAAUAAGCCCCGGCUAACUUCGUGCCAGCAGCCGCGGUAAUACGAAGGGGGCUAGCGUUGCUCGGAAUCACUGGGCGUAAAGGGUGCGUAGGCGGGUUUCUAAGUCAGAGGUGAAAGCCUGGAGCUCAACUCCAGAACUGCCUUUGAUACUGGAAGUCUUGAGUUCGGGAGAGGUGAGUGGAACUGCGAGUGUAGAGGUGAAAUUCGUAGAUAUUCGCAAGAACACCAGGGGCGGAGGCGGCUCACUGGCCCGAUACUGACGCUGAGGCACGAAAGCGUGGGGAGCAAACA